UACAGAGACUGCAAGCGUUAUUCGGAUUCACUGGGCGUAAAGGGUGCGUAGGCGGUUGGGUGUGUCAGAUGUGAAAUCCCGAGGCUCAACCUCGGAACUGCGUCUGAAACUACUCGACUAGAGUACUGGAGAGGGUAACGGAAUUCACGGUGUAGCAGUGAAAUGCGUAGAUAUCGUGAGGAACACCAGAGGCGAAGGCGGUUACCUGGACAGUUACUGACGCUCAUGCACGAAAGCGUGGGGAGCAAACAGG
rnacentral:rRNA from 1 species